UAUGUAGGGUGCAAGUGUUAAUCGGAAUUACUGGGCGUAAAGCGUGCGCAGGUGGUUAUAUAAGACAGAUGUGAUAUCCCCGGGCUUAACCUGGGAACUGUAUUUGUGACUGUAUAGCUAGAGUACGGCAGAGGGGGAUGGAAUUCCGUGUGUAGUAGUGAAAUGCGUAGAUAUGCGGAGGAACACUGAUGGCGAAGGCAAUCCCUUGGGCCUGUACUGACGCUUAUGCACGAAAGUGUGGGGAGCAAACAGGAUUAGAUACCCUGGUAGUCCAUGCCCUAAACGAUGUCAACUGGUUGUUGGGUCUUCACUGACUUAGUAACGAAGCUAACGUGUGAAGUUGACUGCCUGGGGAGUAUGGCUGCAAGGUUGAA
rnacentral:rRNA from 1 species